rfam:Dipodomys ordii contig_51496, whole genome shotgun sequence.
GGGAAUAUGGCUGAGUGGUAGAGUGCUUGCCUAGCAUGCAUGAAGCCCUGGGUUCAAUUCCUCAGUACCA